rnacentral:lncRNA from 1 species
AAAAAAUGAAAUGGAAUGACAAAAUGAAAAAAAAAAAAAUAGUUUAAAAAAGACAAAAAAAAUUGAAAAACAUAUAAGUCCUAACAAUAUAAAAAGUCAGACAAAAAAUUAAAAAAGAGAAAAGUUAAUGCAAAAUAAAAAAAGUAUGAGAAUUUAAAAAUGCAAAUAAGAAAUGAAAGGAAAUGUGUGGAAAAAAAAAGAGAAGCAAGAAAAGACAAAAGAUUUGCAAUAAAAAUAGAAAAAUAAAAAAUUUUAAAACAACGAAAAAAUUAAAACCAGUAAAAAUGAAAGCAUAUGAAAAAAAAGCAAAAAGAAGGAAAAUUGUGAAGGAAAAAAGUUAUUAAAAAAUUACAAAGUUGAAAAAAAAUAAAUUAAGCGAAAAAAUUAAAUAAAAUACCCAGAAAGGAAAAAUAAAAAUAAACAAAGUAAGAAAAUAAAAAAUUAGCGAAGCAAAAAAAUAUAAAAAGACAAAUGAAUAAAAAUUUCAAAUAUAAAAUGGAAAAAACUUUUAGUUUAGAAUGUAGAAAGAAAAACAAAAAAAAAAAAAAACAAAUAGAGGAAAAAGAUAUAAAAUAUGAAAGAUGAAAAAUAAAAUAAAAGAAAGUGCACAAAAAAAGAAGUUUGAGGUUUUAAAAUUAUAAAGAAGAAAUAAAAAAAGGUGCGAACAAAAAGAUUUAAGAAAAAAAUAAAAAAUGAAAAUGCAAAAUAUAUAAAAUAAAAAUUGAGAAAAAGAAGAAAAAAAUAAAAAAUGAAGAGGCAAAAAUAUGAAAAAAAAUAAAAAGAAAAAAAUUUAUAGAAAAUUUUAAAACAAAGAAAAAAGUGAACAAAAAAAAAUGAAAGCACAUAAAAAAAAGUAAAAAAAAGAAGAAAAAUUCGGAAGGAGAAAAAGUUAAUGAAAAAUUAUAAAAAUGCAACAGAAAAUAACCAAGAAUGAUAAAAGAAAAAAAGAUAGAAAAAUAAAAAAUUCCAAAACUUUAUAAAAAUUUAUGAAAUUAUAAAUAAAGAAAGAAAAUAAAACACGAAAAAAAAUUAAAGCAAAAGAAAAAAGAUAAAUAAAGCACAAAAAAAAAAAAA